rnacentral:rRNA from 1 species
UAGGGAAUAUUGCAAAAUGGGCGAAAGCCCGAUGCAGCAACGCCGCGUGGGCGAUGAAGGCCUUCGGGUCGUAAAGCCCUUUUUGAGGGGAUGAGGAAGGACAGUACCCUCAGAAUAAGCCUCGGCUAACUACGUGCCAGCAGCCGCGGUAAAACGUAGGAGGCGAGCGUUAUCCGGAUUUACUGGGCGUAAAGCGCGUGCAGGCGGAUUUGAGAGUUGGAUGUGAAAGCUCCCGGCUUAACUGGGAGAGGUCGUUCAAUACUUCCAGUCUUGAGUGCAGUAGAGGGAAGUGGAAUUCCGGGUGUAGUGGUGAAAUGCGUAGAUAUCCGGAGGAACACCAGUGGCGAAAGCGGCUUCCUGGACUGUAACUGACGCUCAGACGCGAAAGCUAGGGUAGCAAACG